UACGUAGGGUGCGAGCGUUAAUCGGAAUUACUGGGCGUAAAGCGUGCGCAGGCGGUUUUGUAAGCCAGAUGUGAAAUCCCCGGGCUUAACCUGGGAAUGGCAUUUGGGACUGCAAGGCUUGAGUGCGGCAGAGGAGACUGGAAUUCCUGGUGUAGCAGUGAAAUGCGUAGAUAUCGGGAGGAAUACCAGUGGCGAAGGCGGCUUCCUGGCCUGUUCUUGACGCUGAGGAGCGAAAGCCAGGGGAGC
rnacentral:rRNA from 1 species